UACGUAGGGUGCGAGCGUUGUCCGGAAUUAUUGGGCGUAAAGAGCUUGUAGGCGGUUUGUCGCGUCUGCCGUGAAAAUCCGGGGCUCAACCCCGGACUUGCGGUGGGUACGGGCAGACUAGAGUGUGGUAGGGGAGACUGGAAUUCCUGGUGUAGCGGUGAAAUGCGCAGAUAUCAGGAGGAACACCGAUGGCGAAGGCAGGUCUCUGGGCAGUAACUGCGCUGAGGAGCGAAAGCGUGGGGAGCGAACAGG
rnacentral:rRNA from 1 species